rnacentral:rRNA from 1 species
UACGUAGGGCGCGAGCGUUGUCCGGAAUUAUUGGGCGUAAAGAGCUCGUAGGCGGCUUGUUGCGUCUGCUGUGAAAUCCCGGGGCUUAACCCCGGGCGUGCAGUGGAUACGGGCAGGCUGGAGGCAGGCAGGGGAGAAUGGAAUUCCCGGUGUAGCGGUGAAAUGCGCAGAUAUCGGGAGGAACACCGGUGGCGAAGGCGGUUCUCUGGGCCGUAACUGACGCUGAGGAGCGAAAGCAUGGGGAGCGAACAGG